CUACGGGUGAAAGUCCCGUCCGGGUAAGCACUGGAGCGCCCGGUAGCAGGCCCCGGUUCGUCGUGGAGACAUGGCGGGCUGAGCGGGGUGUCGAGAGCCUCUUUGGAGGGAGCAAGCACGCGGGCCGUAGCGUUG
rnacentral:ncRNA from 1 species